UGCGGAUGGAUCAUUA
rnacentral:rRNA from 1 species